CCACAGCUACAACCGCACAGAACAAGUAUUAAGUACGAAAGUCACUUGGGAUGGCGAGUCUAAGUAUAUCA
rfam:Enterococcus sp. RIT-PI-f contig_8, whole genome shotgun sequence.